rnacentral:tRNA from 1 species
GGGCAGGUGGCAGAGUGGACGAAUGCGCCGGUCUCGAACACCGGUGAACGUGCAAGCGUUCCGUGGGUUCGAAUCCCACCCUGCCCGCCA